GACGAAGGUGGCGAGCGUUGUUCGGAAUCACUGGGCAUAAAGCGCACGUAGGCGGCGGCGUAAGUCGGAUGUGAAAUCCCUCGGCCCAACCGAGGAACUGCGUCCGAUACUGCGUUGCUUGAGGACCAAAGGGGUGCAUGGAAUUUCCGGUGGAGCGGUGAAAUGCGUUGAUAUCAGGAGGAACACCUGAGGCGAAGGCGGGUUACUGGGCUGAUACUGACGCUGAUGCGCGAAAGCCAGGGGAGCAAACGGG
rnacentral:rRNA from 1 species